rnacentral:tRNA from 5 species
UGAUGUGGCUCAGUCGGUAGAGCGUCGCCUUGGUAAGGCGGAGGUCACGGGUUCGAUUCCCGUCAUCA